rnacentral:misc_RNA from 1 species
GGGAAAUAUGAUAAUCCUCUAUCCUUUUUAUUUCUUUCUGAGAAUCGAACCAAAAUAAAUUGAUCACAUAUUGGCAUGAAGCACACUCCAGUAGAUGCAUCAAAUUCGAACAAAGCAAAUGGAGAUAACUUACUUGUGAAGAUGCAAAUAAAGGAUUUAGCAUUUGAUUUUACAAAACCCAACCAGAUAAAAGACAGGCUAGUUUGCAGCUUUCAGGCACAAAUGGGGCAAAGCACCAGUCCAUUCUCAUUGCAAUCAGGACAUUUGACCACCAUCGUCCUCCCUUGCUUCUGCCCCAUCUCCUCCUUCACCACCAUCACUAUCUUUGAGCUUCCAUCGCACGAAAAACAUGGAAGGAACCUCACAUCCCCACACCCAUCACACACAUCCCCUGCUCUCUUCUUUGGCAACCCCUGUAGCAGCUCUUCCAUCUUCUCCUCCUCCACUAUCUUCAUCACCUCCUCCACCCCACCCACAUACCUUCCCUUCACAAACAGCCUUGGCGGCACUGUUGCCUCUCUAUCCUUUCCCUUCAUCAACUCCCUUAACUCCUCUCUAAACCCGAGAUCCAUCGACACGUCUCUUUCGCAAAUUAAGAUCUCAAAUCCUUCAAUUGCUGUGCGAACAACAUUGCAUGCCUCGAAUGUCUUUCUUAUGCCCCUCAAAGUGGUCGUAUAGAUCACAACUCUGUUUUCCCCACUUGGCGGGCACAGUUUCUCAUAUCUAUCCAGCAAAUGCGCAUUUUCUUUCAAGGGGAUGGACCCAGGUGUAUAAUUAGCCAAACAGCUGCUCUUCAAGGGCUUCAAGACAUUGGAUUCAAGAGUAGGGUUGAAGGUGAAUUUGGGAUUAGAGUUCUCUUUGUCUAUUAAAGCAGUCUGGUCUUUCUUGACAAUGGGAGAAAAGCGAAAGCUAUCAUUGUCGAGACCAGACAUGAGCUCCCAAGAAUUGAUGGUUUCAGGGCAAUCUGCUCGGAGAGGUCUGGGAUCGGACCAUAGAGAUUUAGGCUCGCAGAGUGGGCUAGGGAAGAUGGAACCGAGGGUGAAACGAGCUGGUUGGGUUGGGGGAGUGGUGGCGGUGGACUGAGCAGGCGGGUCAAGAUUGAGGAGACCGUAGGUGGUGGAGGUGAGGGAGACAAUGUGGUGACUGAGUGCUGAGCUGCCGAGUUGAGUGAACUCGUCAUCGUUGUUUAGCAAAUUGGAAGAUACGCAGCCCAUGAGGUUGCUAAUAUGUGAAUCGAUUAUUGAAAUUUUGAAAUUUGAAGAGAGGCAAAUAUGGGAGGAAGGAGUGUGAGAGUGAAAGACAGAGA